rnacentral:rRNA from 1 species
AAAUUGAAGAGUUUGAUCAUGGCUCAGAUUGAACGCUGGCGGCAGGCCUAACACAUGCAAGUCGAACGGUAACAGGAAGCAGCUUGCUGCUUCGCUGACGAGUGGCGGACGGGUGAGUAAUGUCUGGGAAACUGCCUGAUGGAGGGGGAUAACUACUGGAAACGGUGGCUAAUACCGCAUAACGUCGCAAGACCAAAGAGGGGGACCUUCGGGCCUCUUGCCAUCAGAUGAGCCCAGAUGGGAUUAGCUUGUUGGUGAGGUAACGGCUCACCAAGGCGACGAUCCCUAGCUGGUCUGAGAGGAUGACCAGCCACACUGGAACUGAGACACGGUCCAGACUCCUACGGGAGGCAGCAGUGGGGAAUAUUGCACAAUGGGCGCAAGCCUGAUGCAGCCAUGCCGCGUGUAUGAAGAAGGCCUUCGGGUUGUAAAGUACUUUCAGCGG